rnacentral:tRNA from 1 species
GCCUGGCUGGUUCGGUCAGUGGAACAUAUGACUCUUGAUCUUGGGUUGUGAGUUCAAGCCCCAUGCUGGGUG